rnacentral:tRNA from 1 species
GGCUCCGUGGCGCAAUUGAAUAGCGCAUCAGAUUUCGGCUCUGAGGGUUGGGGGUUUGAAUCCCUCCGGGGUCA